rnacentral:rRNA from 1 species
AUUGAACGCUGGCGGCAGGCCUAACACAUGCAAGUCGAGCGGAUGAAGGGAGCUUGCUCCUGGAUUCAGCGGCGGACGGGUGAGUAAUGCCUAGGAAUCUGCCUGGUAGUGGGGGAUAACGUCCGGAAACGGGCGCUAAUACCGCAUACGUCCUGAGGGAGAAAGUGGGGGAUCUUCGGACCUCACGCUAUCAGAUGAGCCUAGGUCGGAUUAGCUAGUUGGUGGGGUAAAGGCCUACCAAGGCGACGAUCCGUAACUGGUCUGAGAGGAUGAUCAGUCACACUGGAACUGAGACACGGUCCAGACUCCUACGGGAGGCAGCAGUGGGGAAUAUUGGACAAUGGGCGAAAGCCUGAUCCAGCCAUGCUGCGUGUGUGAAGAAGGUCUUCGGAUUGUAAAGCACUUUAAGUUGGGAGGAAGGGCAGUAAGUUAAUACCUUGCUGUCUUGACGUUACCAACAGAAUAAGCACCGGCUAACUUCGUG